UCUUCUCUUUAGUAAGAACAACUGUGAAAAGAUUUCAUAAGGAAGGAAUGAAAUGCAAGAAUUUCUGUCCCCAUUGGUCAAAUCCCACUGGAGCCAGUAAGAAGAGAGCAAAAUAGAAGAGGAGAGUGAAUCUGGAGGGGCAAAUGGAAGAUAUGUGGCAUGAGAUAUUAGAAGCAUUAUGCCCAGUUAACUAGCCCAACAGUGAAACCACCUGUCACCAUCUACCUGUGCUGCAUCCUCUCUGCUCCAGCCCUUCUUCAAACCCAGAAGCUUCUGCUGGGAAAGAACCUGUUUAGUGUUGCUUAAAAUUGUGCUCAUGCUGGAGAAUGUAAAACAUACUUACAACCUGCAG